UAGCAACCAGAUGACUGAGACAUAAAAGUGGACUACAUAGUUGGAAAAAGAAGUUAUCCCAGUCAAAAGGAGAUACUUUUUUUUUGGAAUAGAGAGCCUAUAGAAGAAGAAAAAUGCAUUCCUCAAGGGUUAGCAGACACAAACAGACUUUGGACGCUUCAUCAGAGCCAAGAGACAGGACCAAAACGCUCAGAGUGCCCCCGUUGCGUCAAAACAGAGCAGCCAGCUGUCCCAGACCACCACAGAAUGGGGGUCUUUCCGAGGUGAGCUGUGAACGCAGGACCAGGUCCAGCUCCACUGCCCCCAGACCCGACGGACUAAAAGGAAAGCGGGGCUUACAUGCACAGUGGCGGGAAGGGAGCGAGGGUCCUGGGCAGAGAGGGCGAGGGGGCGUCCCGACUCAGAAGAAGCUUGCAAUCCAGAGCCACAAAGCCUUCACCGUUAUUCCCCCCGACCCCAAGAAGAGACGGGACAUCCAAAAAAAGGCGGAUGCCGAGCUCGCCGCUCUGGAGGAGCUGAGGCUGAGCAGAGCGAUGGCGUACGUCACCAUCCAACCCAGCCGUGUUGCUGGCGUACCACACUGUUAUGCAGUACGUCAGCAGGCUCUCGACAGCCGAGCGAUAGAAGGUCACCAUCAGAUGCCUCUCCAGUCUGUUCUUCCUCAGCACCCUCAGGAAGUGGAGUCUCCGCUGGGCCUUCCGGAUGACCGCAGUUAUAUUUUGGGUCCAGGAGAGGGGGCCGCAUGAGUCUGGAGGCAGUUCGACUGAGGCAACAGCAGGAAAUGAUGCAGACCAAGAGGAAACCGAUACGGAAGCAGGUGGUGGAGCAAACUCAUGUUCUGACGGGCUGAGCUCCACGCAAGGGAGGAGAAUCCAAACCCUUUUUAGAUUUACACAAUGCAAUAAAUUAUGCCAAUCAAAAUAUUCUCGUCAGUUCACAGUCAAGGGCCUUCCAUGAUAACAACAAGCCAUGGGGAGAAAUAAUAAGCAAUCGAAGCAUUGAUUGUUUGACAACAUUCUACAAAAAAAACAUAAAAAAAGACACUGACAUUUUGAUGUGACAGCAACAAAGUGACAAAAUUAAAAUGUCAGAAUGCAGCAUAAAACUCAGUGGCUUAGUGGUUAGAGUAGGGGUACCCAAACUA